GUUGUUGUUUCAUUUAUGGUAGCCUGAGUAGUUAAAUGUUAUGGAAACCCUAUUGUGACGUAAUCGGGUGCAUGAUUCUGGGAAAUUUUGAAUCAUGGGAUGUUUUGUAAGCGUUUUUGAGGUGUGUCUUAAAACCGUUUUGAUGGAUUUGAAUGGGUUUGUAGGAAGAAAGUUUACGAUGGUCACUAUGUAAAGCGUUCGAUCAGAAAGAGUACCUGGUUUUAAAAAAGUCAUUUGAAUAUGAUUGAUAUUUUGAUUUUUACGUGCGUGUACGAAGUGAACUCGAAAAUCAUGGUAAGUGAAUAAUUCUUUUUACCCAAGGUGGUAGUAAAAAUGCAAUUAUGAACUUUAUGUAAGAAAAUCAAAUGAAUUGGAAAAUGUAGAAUAUCCAAAUAAGCACUUGUCAAAAAGCAAAGUAUCUUAAGAACAUCUUUAAGAAAAUUCUUGCAUCAAAACAAAAGCUCAGUGGUUGUUUUUAGGCAAUAAAUAAAAUGAAGAAAUAAGGAAAAUUUUGAAGUCAAAUUUAAAUACUGUUUGGCUCAGCAGUAUCAUAAGCAAAGAUGAAGUCAUAUCAGAUGUCAUCUUAAGGAUAGUUAAAAUAACAAAAGAAUAUGGAUACCAAAAAUCUUCAGUGACUGAAGAACCAUCACUCACUGAAGAGAAAAAUAUGGGUUAAAGAUUUGUAUAGAACUAAUUUUGGUGCAUAUUAUUUUUCUGAAAGUGUUGAAGAGGGCAUGUUUAAAGAUGUUUAUAUCAGUUUUGAUAUUUGUAACUUAGAUUAAUAGGAUUAUUCAUAUGCCUUCUACCAGAAAUGAUUUCAUCUUUCUUCUCCAAAAAAGAAACUUAUUUGAACAAAAGGAGCAGAGACUGAAUAAUUGGGUUGUUAGAUGUAAAGAUGAUUAAUAUCGAUAAAUUGAAGCCUCAUGUCAUUAGUAAAUAUGUUACACCGAGAUGAUUUUAAAAUGUUAUCUGAAAAGCCUCCUUGCUGCAUACGAAACUAACUCGACAUUGUGGAUGAAUUCUUCAUUGUUACUAGAAAAAAUAAAGGAAUUGGAUAAAAAUUUCAAGAUGAGAAGUCACUGAUAUUGAGAAUAGCUAUAAUGCUUAUACUGAAAUCACAGAAACUAAAAACAGUUGACUAAUUGUAAUAUCUCUGAAUGUCUGCAACCAUGAUUGUAAUUUCUUUGAAUGUCUGCAGUUUUGAUUGUCUCCACUAGUUCUGCAGCCUCUGAACCAAAAAAUUAUUGUGAAUUUCAAGUAUAAUUUUUUUUAAGUGUUUGGUCAAAGAAUGGAUCAAAAUUACUGAUGGCAAAUAUGAGUUCAAUUCUUCAGUUCUCAGUACAUUUUCAGGAGUUGGAGUAAUAUCUCAGCAAAAGUUAUUAGAAAUUGCUUCACACAUACUGAAUUUUUAGUUGGGAGGCUAUGCACUAGAAGCUCAUGAUAAGACUGAUGUUAGUGUUUUUCUUAUGUUUUUAGAGGAUAAAGUUUCUGGAAGAAGUGACCAAGUGGAAAAAACUAUGCAAAUAGAUGAUAGCUCUUAUCUCAAUGAUGAAAAUUUAUUUAUUUCAGGCAAGAUGUAGCAAACUUCAACAAAAUUAAUAGUGCUAAUAGUUAUCAUGGAACUUCCAAAAGCGAUUGAUAAAAAGGUUUCUUAGAAAGCACAAACCGAAAAGGAUACUUCAUUGAACUUGGAAAUUUUAAAAAUGUUGUCUGUUUAGGAAACAACACGAAAAAAAUCAAGAUUGUUGCAUCAGAUCAAAUGCAGAAUUUUCAGCAGUUAUUCUUGGAAAUAGUCAUGAUGUAAUUUCAAAUUAUUUUCCUGUGCAGUAAUUUGGCAUGAAAAUCUGAUGCUACUAGAAAAAGGAAAUAGACUGAAUUCAUUUUGGGCCCACACAGCUAAAACACAGGAAGAUUUCCGAAAACGAGAUAACCAUGUUAAAAAACCCUGCCAUUUACGAGAAGUGGCGAAAUUUCACCUGGAUUCUUUUAAUUAUAUGAUAAAAGAAGCGUUGGCUGAUGCCUGUAUGAUUGUUGCCUCAGAUAGUGCUGCCAAAAAAAAAAAAAAAAAAGGGAAGCCAGGCUCCAUUGAAAUUAGAAAGAAAUCAUGGAUAAACAUAAGCAUGGUGUAAAAGUGAUGGAAUUGGUGAAGACAUAUGUUCGACAUCGACGAUCUGUGCUAUUCUGAAAAAGAAGGAAGAAAUUGAGAAACUUG